UUUGUGGGCACGGUCCGCAUGGGAAGCGCUGCUUUGGGUUUCCCCGGAGCCGCAGGCUGUGCAGUGCUUGUUUCGCAGAAAGUUUGGGGUCCCUUUCCCCCAGGGCAGCAGAUUGGGGGUCACCCAGCGCGCUCGUUCGUGGGAAGAGACGAGCUCUGAAUUAGCUGCGCUGGGGUAAACCCAUCGCUGCUCCAACGCGUCUCGGUGUCUUCUUCCUCAGUCUAUCUCUGACUCCCUACCGAGACCAUGCCCGGGGCUCGGGUGGUGCUGGUGGGAUCCUGAGCUCCUCUCACUUCUCUACAGCUGGUGUGUCUCUAACAGCUCCUCUGUAGGGGAUGCUCAGACUUUCACCAUUGCGUUUUUGCCGGGUUUUGAAAGAAAGAACAACAGCAACAAGUAAAGUUGAGCCCUUCGUUCUCUGGUUUGCAAUAGAUAUGAAAGCUUGUUUGCUUAAAGGAAUAUUUGGUGGGGAGGGUAAUGGUAAAAGGAGUUCUCGUGUGUGGCCAUUUAAACUACAGGAAGUGGUGCUACUUCCUGUAAGCACUGGCUGCUCAAGUGUGGAAAGAAUGGAGAAGGAAAAAUGACUACGCAUUUUUUUCCCUCAUCUUGUGAAACAAUUUCACGGAAGAACAGGAUUUGGGUGGAGAGCCAAGAGCUGUCUCGGGUGCUUUAGGGCAGGAGUGGGUUUUGUAACAGGUGUGGAGUUUGGAGGAAAGCUUUCUUAAAGGUCACCUUUGGCUCUUGCCUUGCAUGAAGUCACAUUGUGUAGUUACUAUAAGAUGCUCAUGUAGCGUGACUAGAGAAAUACAAAGCCUGUGUAGGACUGUGGCUGCUGAACACAAGUUUGGCUAUAAAAAAGCACUUCUAAAAGUGUUGGUUAGCAUUUAGAUAUUGCAGAUUAAUCUUUAGACAUCUCCUCUGUCAGAGAGAGUUUCUGGAGGACAACCAGCAAGGUAUUUGCCUUACUCUUUUAUUCACCAUUGACUCACUUUGAGGAUCGUGUAUGCAAACUUUGGGAUCUGGGUAAGUUGGUCAGGAGGAAAACCUCAUGGUCAAAUGUCAGAUUUGAUGUCAGCUCCAGUGUGUCACUAAGCACUGAGGCAGGAAAUGGGAGACAGAGUUCUGCCUUCAUGUACUGUUUACAAAGCCCUGAAAAAGUUAGUUGGGGCUUUACAAGGUGGGGUGUGGGAUUUGGGUUUUAGUAGAGCUUUAGUAGGUGUGUUUUAAGCACAGUUUAAGCUUCUUGCUUAUUAGAAAUUUAAGGAAAUAUAAGGAGUCUCAGUGCUCAGAUCUUAACUCAGUAUUUGUCAGUAUAAUGAAUGCAUCAUUGGCAUCGUUAAACCAGGUAUGUGCUAGUUUUAAUUUGUUCUGUAGAUAAAUGAUUAAAGUAGGGCAGUGGUAUAUGACCUCAGCCUCUGUAGCACUUAUGAUAGUAGGACCCCUGGUUAUUUGGUAGUACCAAGAUAGUGUUUUGAGUUAUUAGUUAAGUUGCUCUUUAAGAAUUUAUUUUUGUUUUUGUUUUUUUUUUUUCCCCCACAACUGGGUUUUGGCUAGUGUUACAUGCCUCAAGUAUUUAGCAAAAUAAUAGCUAAUUAGUACUUGACGUUUAAAGACACCUGAUCUGUGUUUCAGAUUACUGCUGUCUCCGUUCCCUGGAACAUCAACAUUUGACUCUCUAUCCUGAAGAUCCUGGUUCCAGCUGCUUCCCACAUCUCCCAGAGAUGAUGAAAAAAGAACUCAUCAGUGGGUCAAGGAAAAAACCCAACUUGCUUCCUGAAGGCUGAGUUGGGAGAGGUGGUGCUCUGAUCACUGGGUGCUGGCUCUUCACCCCAGAGGGUUUGCCCUGCUGCCAACAACUGCAUGUUGCUGUUCCUUGUCUUCUGUGAAUGCUUGGAAUGGUGAGUAGGAAGGAGAGAAGCCAGCUCUGAGUCUUCAGGAGGUGCUUUAGAAGAAGGACUGGGAAGUUCUGUACUUGCCUGUGCUGAGCAAACUCUCCUGUCAGCAGGAGUUUCUCUAGGAAGGCUGAUGUCCCCCUGCCUAUUCUGCUCAUAUAAUGACUCAGUGUUCAUCCUUUUAGUUUUUCCCAUGUGACACUUUCCACAGACACUUGAUACUCUUCAGCAGGGUCUGACUGAUACCCUCCUUUAAUCUGCAGAAUGGGGACCCAGAUUUGGGAAAUUCUGAGACAAAGAACUUUUCCAUAAGAUUAAAGGCUUAAAAGUCAAGGCCGAAUGUGAUCCAGCCCAGUGCUCAAUGUUGUUUAGAAAGCAGCCCCAGGGAGGGGUGAAUACUGGAACAUGCUUCCAUGGCAUUGGUAAUACUGACCUGCUUUGUUGGUGGGUGGUGCUGGACCAUGCAGUGUUACCUGCCCUGGCCAGGCCAGCCCCAGCACCAGGGGCUGUGUGGCAACAAACCCUGCUGGGUGUGGGUGCUGGACAUCUGCCCCAUGAGUCAGGAAUUCCAUGUCCCAAAGGUCUCAGCUUCCCUCCUGUGAACUCAGCUAGCGUUUUCCUAGCAUCAGUUUUUGUGCACUUUGGGCUCUGGGUUGAUGCAAUAGUGAGUUCAGUGAUGCCUGAACUCUGCUGACCCCUGCAGACACCAGCAGAGAAAGUUCAGGAACUGAAAGCAGCCACCUGCCCUUGGUCAGCAAGAUCAGCUCAGCUGAGCCACAUAUGCUGAAACAUUUUAAAGCCAGGUUUGAUCUACAUUCCUGUAACAGAUUUUAAGAUCUUAGAGUGGCUUGAGACACUAGAACUGAUAUAAGUGGAGAGAGAUAACUUCAUAGAUGCCAAGAAAGCUGCUGAUGGUAUUUUGGCUGGAUCCAGCUUGCCAGGUUUUCUCGCUCCUGAAUCCUUCUCCUUUAGGCUAGUUCUGGAAACUGCAGGCAUAUACAAACUCCCUUUACUCCCUCCCUCUUGGAUGGCUUAAGAACUGUGUAGCUCCAGAGAGGGAGUAGCAGUGUAUUCCUCUGGUUUUUCCUCUGUAUUGCUUCUGCAUGCAACCCCGUAUCACCCUUCCCCUCAGCCCUUCAGCUAUACGGAUGAACAGUGAAAGUAGUACAAAUCCAUUGCAAAGACUAGGCAGCAAAUAAAACGGGGUAUUGCAAUUAAUAGGGUGCUUUCUGCCUAGCACAUGCUUCAAAUCUGAAGCAGGAGUAUUUUCUCUUGGUGUCCUGAGCAACUCCAGAGCCCAGGCUUUGCAACCCCUUUGCUUUACAACAGCAGAGACCCUCUGCCUGUCGAGAGGACUCCCCCAGCUGUUUCCUGCUGUUGCUAUAAAUCAGCUUGUGUCACUUUCCUCCCUCUUUUCAAGACUCUGAUAACAAGCACCUGGGGCAGCCAGGUGACCUUUGGCUGAGCUUCCUCUUUAAACUCCCGUGGCUUUUGCUUCAUUGCCUGCUUGUUACGCAGCAGUAAAGAUCUGUUCUGAUAGCAGCAGAGGCUGCUGCCAUUCCCUUUCUUUUCUUAUGCAGCAUCAAAGCUCUCUGAAUUUGCUUGAACAGAUUUGCAUUUAGGUCAGGACUCACUUGAGAAAAAGGUGGUUUUUUUUCCUCCUGUCUUUUUUUCAACUCUGUGAGGAAGGGUAAUAAGCACAAAGGCACGUGGGAAAAAGAGAUAUGGGCUCUAAAUAAACUGGUUUGGC